rnacentral:rRNA from 1 species
AGAGUUUGAUCCUGGCUCAGGAUGAACGCUAGCGGGAGGCCUAACACAUGCAAGCCGAGCGGUAGAAGAUCUUCGGAUCUUUGAGAGCGGCGCACGGGUGCGGAACACGUGUGCAACCUGCCUUUAUCUGGGGGAUAGCCUUUCGAAAGGAAGAUUAAUAUCCCAUAAUAUAUUUUACGGCAUCGUAAUAUAUUGAAAACUCCGGUGGAUAGAGAUGGGCACGCGCAAGAUUAGAUAGUUGGUGAGGUAACGGCUCACCAAGUCAAUGAUCUUUAGGGGGCCUGAGAGGGUGAUCCCCCACACUGGUACUGAGACACGGACCAGACUCCUACGGGAGGCAGCAGUGAGGAAUAUUGGACAAUGGGUGAGAGCCUGAUCCAGCCAUCCCGCGUGAAGGACUAAGGCCCUAUGGGUUGUAAACUUCUUUUAUACUGGGAUAAACCUACUUACGUGUAAGUAGCUGAAGGUACAGUAUGAAUAAGCACCGGCUAACUCCGUA